AUUGAACGCUGGCGGCAUGCCUUACACAUGCAAGUCGAACGGUAACAGGUCUUCGGAUGCUGACGAGUGGCGAACGGGUGAGUAAUGCAUCGGAACGUGCCCAGUAGUGGGGGAUAGCCCGGCGAAAGCCGGAUUAAUACCGCAUACGACCUGAGGGUGAAAGGGGGGGAUCGCAAGACCUCUCGCUAUUGGAGCGGCCGAUGUCAGAUUAGCUAGUUGGUGGGGUAAAGGCCUACCAAGGCAAUGAUCUGUAGUUGGUCUGAGAGGACGACCAGCCACACUGGGACUGAGACACGGCCCAGACUCCUACGGGAGGCAGCAGUGGGGAAUUUUGGACAAUGGGCGCAAGCCUGAUCCAGCAAUGCCGCGUGCAGGAAGAAGGCCUUCGGGUUGUAAACUGCUUUUGUCAGGGAAGAAAUCUUCUGGGUUAAUACCUCGGGAGGAUGACGGUACCUGAAGAAUAAGCACCGGCUAACUACGUGCCAGCCGCCGCCGUAAAAC
rnacentral:rRNA from 1 species